CCGCCCGUCCCGAAAGUUUCCCUGGCGCCCGGCAGGGGGCCGGGCACAGAUCAGAUAAAACUACAGAUGGCAGAGCCAAAGCCAAGACAACGUGUGAACUGAUGAGAAGUGACUUUGCCUUCUUAGAACAUUAAUUUCCUAGUGGCCCAAGAUCUUACAUGCAAGUGCAACAUCACUACCAAAAGAGACAGUGACAUGUGAUCAUUG